rnacentral:rRNA from 1 species
CGCCUUUUGACAUAUGUUUAUAAAAGGUCCUGCCUGCCCAGUGACUCUGUUUAACGGCCGCGGUAUUAUGACCGUGCAAAGGUAGCGUAAUCACUUGUCUUUUAAAUAAAGACUAGUAUGAACGGCAACACGAGGACCCAACUGUCUCACUAAAUUAGUCAGUGAAAUUUAUUUUUCCGUGCAAAAGCGGAAAUACUUAUAUAAGACGAGAAGACCCUGUGGAGCUUUAAAUUUAAACUAACACUUAAUAGUAUUAUAGCAUAAAAUUUUAGGUUGGGGCGACCAUGAGGAAAAACAAACCCUCAAGACAUAACUAGAGAGACAUCUCCAACAAAUAGUAAUACUAAUACAUUGACCCAAUAAUUGAUCAACGAACCAAGUUACCCCAGGGAUAACAGCGCAAUCCACUCAUAGAGCCCAUAUCAACGAGCGGGUUUACGACCUCGAUGUUGGAUCAGGACUACCCAGUGGCGCAGCAACUACUAAAGGUUCGUUUGUUCAACGAUUAAAGUCCU